GCGUGUGUGAAGAAGGCCUUAGGGUUGUAAAACACUUUCAACUGAGAAGAUGAUGACGGUAUCAGUAGAAGAAGCUCCGGCUAACUCCGUGCCAGCAGCCGCGGUAAUACGGAGGGAGCUAGCGUUGUUCGGAAUUACUGGGCGUAAAGAGCAUGUAGGCGGCGAAGCGCGUCAGAGGUGAAAUCCCAGGGCUCAACCUUGGAACUGCCUUUGAUACGGCUUUGCUAGAAUUUUAGAGGGGUUAGCGGAAUUCCAAGUGUAGAGGUGAAAUUCGU
rnacentral:rRNA from 1 species